GGGUAACAUGCCCUAAGGUGGGGGAUAAUCUCGGGAAACUGAGGAUAAUACCCCAUAGGUCUGAUAUGCUGGAAUGCUUUCAGGCCGAAAACUCCGGUGCCUUAGGAUUGGCCUGCGGUCUAUCAGGCUGUAGUGGGUGUAAUGGACCCACUAGCCCGUGACGGAUAUGGGCCUUGAGAGAGGGAGCCCAGAGAUGGACUCUGAGACAUGAGUCCAGGCCCUACGGGGCGCAGCAGUCGCGAAAACUUCGCAAUGGGGGCAACCCCGACGAGGGAAUUCCAAGUGCCAGCACUUUGUGUUGGCUGUUCUCCUGUCUAAAAAACAGGAGGAGUAAGGGGCGGGUAAGACGGGUGCCAGCCGCCGCGGUAAUACCCGCGCCCCUAGUGGUGGUCGAUAUUAUUGGGCCUAAAACGUCCGUAGCCGGUCUUCUAAAUCCUUGGGUAAAUCGGGCAGCUUAACUGUCCGAAGUCCGGGGAGACUGGGAGACUUGGGACCGGGAGAGGUCAGAGGUACUUCUGGGGUAGGGGUAAAAUCCUGUAAUCCUGGAAGGACCACCGGUGGCGAAGGCGUCUGACUAGAACGGAUCCGACGGUGAGGGACGAAGCCCUGGGGCGCAAACGGGAUUAGAUACCCCGGUAGUCCAGGGUGUAAACGCUGCGGGCUUGGUGUUGGGGGUCCUUAGUGGGCGCCCAGUGCCGGAGAGAAGUUGUUAAGCCUGCUGCUUGGGGAGUAUGUCCGCAAGGAUGAAACUUAA
rnacentral:rRNA from 1 species